rnacentral:rRNA from 1 species
CUACGGGUGGCUGCAGUGGGGAAUAUUGGACAAUGGGCGCAAGCCUGAUCCAGCAAUGCCGCGUGAGUGAAGACGGCCUUAGGGUUGUAAAACUCUUUCGCUAGGGAAGAUAAUGACUGUACCUAGUAAAGAAGUCCCGGCUAACUCCGUGCCAGCAGCCGCGGUAAUACGGAGGGGACUAGCGUUGUUCGGAAUUACUGGGCGUAAAGAGUUCGUAGGCGGACUGACAAGUUAGAGGUGAAAUCCCAGGGCUCAACCCUGGAACUGCCUUUAAAACUGUCAGUCUAGAGACCGGAGGGGUGAGGGGAAUACCUGGUGUAGAGGUGAAAUUCGUAGAUAUUAGGUGGAACACCAGUGGCGAAGGCGCCUAACUGGUCCGGUACUGACGCUGAGGAACGAAAGCGUGGGGAGCAAACAGGAUUAGAUACCCGCGUAGUC